ensembl:snoRNA
CCCCUUUUAAAAGCACUCAGUGGGCCUUUGCUAAUGACCCAUCGAGCCGUCCAGAAUUGGCAGAGCCAAAAGCACCGCUUUCGGGUGAAGCGGCAGCAUGUUGUGCUGUUUUGCUUCAAUCGGUGGUGUGACAAGA